CAAUAGCGUAUAUUUAAGUUGUUGCAGUUAAAAAGCUCGUAGUCGGAUUUUGGCUGAGAACGAUCGGUCCGCCGUUAGGUGUGCACUGAUUGGUCUCAGCUUCCUGGUGAGGAGGUGUGCUUCACGGCCACUUAGUCACCGUGGUUACUUUGAAAAAAUUAGAGUGUUCAAAGCGGGCUUACGCUUGAAUAUAUUAGCAUGGAAUAACACCAUAGGACUCCUGUCCUAUUUCGUUGGUCUCGGGACGGGAGUAAUGAUUAAGAGGAACAGUUGGGGGCAUUCGUAUUUCAUUGUCAGAGGUGAAAUUCUUGGAUUUAUGAAAGACGAACUACUGCGAAAGCAUUUGCCAAGGAUGUUUUCAUUAA
rnacentral:rRNA from 1 species